GCGUGCAAGCAGGAGGGGGCAGGCACCUCUCAUUUAGGCAUCGGGAAGCCUCCCUUCCCAGCUGAGGGAUCCCCACCACCUCCUGCUUGCAUGCAAGUAGGAAUGGGAUUGGGGCCGCUCUGAUGGGAAAGGAGGCAUCGCGCUGCCUGAGAGAUCCCUGCCCCCUCCUGCUUGCACAC